UACAGAGGGUCCAAGCGUUGAUCGGAAUCACUGGGCUUAAAGGGUUCGUAGGCGGCUCUGUAAGUAUGUUGUGAAAUCCCACGGCUCAACCGUGGAAUUGCUUCGUAGACUGCAGAGCUUGAGCACGACAGGGGCCAUCAGAACUCUAGGUGGAGCGGUGAAAUGCGUAGAUAUCUAGAGGAAUGCCAAAGGUGAAGACAGAUGGCUGGGUCGUCGCUGACGCUCAGGAACGAAAGCAUGGGUAGCGAACGGG
rnacentral:rRNA from 1 species